rnacentral:rRNA from 1 species
AGUCGUGCGAGAAAGUAUCUUCGGAUAUGAGUAGAGCGGCGGACGGGUGAGUAACGCGUAGGAAUCUACCUAGUAGAAGGGGAUAGCCCGAGGAAACUCGGAUUAAUACCGUAUACCUCCUUCGGGAGAAAGAGGGCCUCUCUUUGAAGCUUUCGCUACUAGAUGAGCCUGCGUAAGAUUAGCUUGUUGGUGAGGUAAAGGCUCACCAAGGCUACGAUCUUUAGCGGGUCUGAGAGGACGAUCCGCCACAUUGGGACUGAGACACGGCCCAGACUCCUACGGGAGGCAGCAGUGGGGAAUAUUGGACAAUGGGCGCAAGCCUGAUCCAGCCAUACCGCGUGUGUGAAGAAGGCCCUAGGGUUGUAAAGCACUUUAAGUUGGGAAGAAAAGUUAUUGGCUAAUAUCCAAUAACCGUGACAUUACCAUCAGAAUAAGGACCGGCUAAU